rnacentral:rRNA from 1 species
CUCAGGAUGAACGCUAGCUACAGGCUUAACACAUGCAAGUCGAGGGGCAGCAUGGUCUUAGCUUGCUAAGGCCGAUGGCGACCGGCGCACGGGUGAGUAACACGUAUCCAACCUGCCGUCUACUCUUGGACAGCCUUCUGAAAGGAAGAUUAAUACAAGAUGGCAUCAUGAGUCCGCAUGUUCACAUGAUUAAAGGUAUUCCGGUAGACGAUGGGGAUGCGUUCCAUUAGAUAGUAGGCGGGGUAACGGCCCACCUAGUCUUCGAUGGAUAGGGGUUCUGAGAGGAAGGUCCCCCACAUUGGAACUGAGACACGGUCCAAACUCCUACGGGAGGCAGCAGUGAGGAAUAUUGGUCAAUGGGCGAGAGCCUGAACCAGCCAAGUAGCGUGAAGGAUGACUGCCCUAUGGGUUGUAAACUUCUUUUAUAAAGGAAUAAAGUCGGGUAUGCAUACCCGUUUGCAUGUACUUUAUGAAUAAGGAUCGGCUAACUCCGUGCCAGCAGCCGCGGUAAUACGGAGGAUCCGAGCGUUAUCCGGAUUUAUUGGGUUUAAAGGGAGCGUAGAUGGAUGUUUAAGUCAGUUGUGAAAGUUUGCGGCUCAACCGUAAAAUUGCAGUUGAUACUGGAUAUCUUGAGUGCAGUUGAGGCAGGCGGAAUUCGUGGUGUAGCGGUGAAAUGCUUAGAUAUCACGAAGAACUCCGAUUGCGAAGGCAGCCUGCUAAGCUGCAACUGACAUUGAGGCUCGAAAGUGUGGGUAUCAAACAGGAUUAGAUACCCUGGUAGUCCACACGGUAAACGAUGAAUACUCGCUGUUUGCGAUAUACGGCAAGCGGCCAAGCGAAAGCGUUAAGUAUUCCACCUGGGGAGUACGCCGGCAACGGUGAAACUCAAAGGAAUUGACGGGGGCCCGCACAAGCGGAGGAACAUGUGGUUUAAUUCGAUGAUACGCGAGGAACCUUACCCGGGCUUAAAUUGCAGAUGAAUUACGGUGAAAGCCGUAAGCCGCAAGGCAUCUGUGAAGGUGCUGCAUGGUUGUCGUCAGCUCGUGCCGUGAGGUGUCGGCUUAAGUGCCAUAACGAGUGCAACCCUUGUUGUCAGUUACUAACAGGUUCCGCUGAGGACUCUGACAAGACUGCCAUCGUAAGAUGUGAGGAAGGUGGGGAUGACGUCAAAUCAGCACGGCCCUUACGUCCGGGGCUACACACGUGUUACAAUGGGGGGUACAGAGGGCCGCUACCACGCGAGUGGAUGCCAAUCCCCAAAACCUCUCUCAGUUCGGACUGGAGUCUGCAACCCGACUCCACGAAGCUGGAUUCGCUAGUAAUCGAGCAUCAGCCACGGCGCGGUGAAUACGUUCCCGGGCCUUGUGCACACCGCCCGUCAAGCCAUGGGAGCCGGGGGUACAAGAAGUGCGUAACCGCGAGGAGCGCCCUA